rnacentral:ncRNA from 1 species
CUCGAUAAAGGCAAAUCCGUCGAGAGGCGGAGGCGCAAAGUAGCGGAUCCCCUGGUGGAUAGCCGAACUGCCGAAA